UACGUAGGGGGCAAGCGUUGUCCGGAGUUACUGGGCGUAAAGAGCUCGUAGGCGGUCUGUUGCGUCGGCUGUGAAAACCCGGGGCUCAACUCCGGGCCUGCAGCCGAUACGGGCAGACUAGAGUUCGGCAGGGGAGACUGGAAUUCCUGGUGUAGCGGUGAAAUGCGCAGAUAUCAGGAGGAACACCGGUGGCGAAGGCGGGUCUCUGGGCCGAUACUGACGCUGAGGAGCGAAAGCGUGGGGAGCGAACAGG
rnacentral:rRNA from 1 species